rnacentral:rRNA from 1 species
UACGUAGGCAGCAAGCGUUGUUCGGAAUUACUGGGCGUAAAGAGUGUGUAGGCGGUGCUCUAAGUUCGGUGUGAAAUCUCCUGGCUCAACUGGGAGGGUGCGCCGGAAACUGGGGUGCUGGAGCGCGGGAGAGGAAAGCGGAAUUCCUGGUGUAGCGGUGAAAUGCGUAGAUAUCGGGAAGAACACCUAUGGCGAAGGCAGCUCUCUGGGACGGUACUGACGCUGAGACGCGAAAGCGUGGGGAGCGAACAGG